ACAGUAAAAAGUCCGAGGGCAGCCGCCGGGCGCAGGAUGGGAUCCGGCUCCUCCAGCUACCGGCCCAAGGCCAUCUACCUGGACAUCGAUGGACGCAUUCAGAAGGUAAUCUUCAGCAAGUACUGCAACUCCAGCGACAUCAUGGACCUGUUCUGCAUCGCCACCGGCCUGCCUCGGAACACAACCAUCUCCCUGCUGACCACCGACGACGCCAUGGUCUCCAUCGACCCCACCAUGCCGGCGAAUUCAGAACGCACUCCCUACAAAGUGAGACCUGUGGCCAUCAAGCAACUCUCUGAUAUUCAUUUCUCCAGCACCAUUUGUUGAAAAGAUGAUCUUUUCUCCCACUGAAUUACCAUGACACCUUUGUGGAAAAUCGAUGGGCCAUGUAUGUGUGAGUCUUUUUCUGGACUCCAGAUCCUGUCGUGUGAAUUUACAUGUCUUAAAACAACAGCACACCAUCUUGACUACCGUAGAUAAAUAGUAGGUCUUGAAAUCAGGUACUCUAAGUUAUCUCUGGUUUCUUUUUUCUUUUUCAAAAAUGUUAUUGCUUUUAUUUUCAAAUAAAUUUUAGAAUCAGUCUAUGAAUUGCUUCCAAAAAAACAGUCUGCUAGGAUUUUGACUGAAGUUGCAUUAAAUAUACAGACCAAUGUGGGAAGAAUUAAUAUCUUAAGAAUGUUGAGUCUUCUGGUUCAUAAAUAUGGUCUAUCUCCCCAUUCAUUUGGGUUUCCUUUAAUGUUUCUCAAUAAUGUGUUACCAUUGUUAAUAUGAAGUACUUAAUAAAUACUGAUAAA
rnacentral:sRNA from 1 species